UUCCGGUUGAUCCUGCCGGACCCUACUGCUAUCGGGGUGGGACUAAAACAUGCAAGUCGAGCGCCUCCAAGCUAUGGUGAAGGCGCGGCAAACGGCUCAGUAACACGUGGCCAACCUACCCUUGGGACGGAGACAACCCCGGGAAACUGGGGCUAAUCCCCGAUAGGUGAGGAAUCCUGGAAUGGACCCUCGCCCAAAAGACGUUGAGUCCAUGCUAUUCAGCGUCGCCCAAGGAUGGAGCCGCGACCGAUCAGGUAGUUGGUGAGGCAACGGCUCACCAAGCCUAUAACCGGUACGGGCCGUGAGAGCGGGAGCCCGGAGAUGGGCACUGAGACAAGGGCCCAGGCCCUACGGGGCGCAGCAGUUGCGAAAACUCCGCAAUGCGCGAAAGCGUGACGGGGCUACCCCGAGUGCCGCCCGUUGAGGGCGGCUUUUCCACGGUGUAAGGAGCCGUGGGAAUAAGGAGAGGGCAAGACUGGUGUCAGCCGCCGCGGUAAUACCAGCUCUCCGAGUGGUGGGGACGAUUAUUGGGCUUAAAGCGUUCGUAGCCGGCUUAACAAGUCUUCCGUUAAAUCCAACGAUCUAAUCGUUGGGCUGCGGGAGAUACUGUUGGGCUAGGAGGCGGGAGAAGCCGACGGUAUUCUCGGGGUAGGGGUGAAAUCCUGUAAUCCCGGGAGGACCACCAGUGGCGAAGGCGGUCGGCUAGAACGCGCUCGACGGUGAGGGACGAAAGCUGGGGGAGCGAACCGGAUUAGAAACCCGGGUAGUCCCAGCUGUAAACGAUGCGGGCUAGGUGUUGGGGGUGGCCACGAGCCACUUCAGUGCCGCAUGGAAAGCAAUUAAGCCCGCCAUCCUGGGGAGUACGGCCGCAAAGGCUGAAACUUUAAAGGAAUUGGCGGGGAGCACACAACGCGUGAAGCUUGCUGGUUUAAUUGGAAUCAACGC
rnacentral:rRNA from 1 species